UAACUUAUCUAUUUUCAAGUAAUUCUAUGGAAUUUUAUGUAGUUAAAUGAAAUAAAUAAAUAAACUAUAGCUGAACCCAGAUACGGUAACGGCCCUUAAAGCGUUAAAUAUAUUUAUUUAUAUAUAUAUAUAUAUUAAAGGGCUUUCCUUUUACGUGGUUUUGGUUCUUUGAAAAGGGUUGCCAGAUGUUAAAAAAUCAAAUGCAAAUAAUAGAGUUCGGAGAUGUAUACGUAAAAGAUUUAACCCACCGUCACAUCUGCACCGAGAAUUGAAGAGAUUGGUUUGGGUAAGGAAAACUUGAAUAACUGCUCCAACUCUUUACCGAUAUGGACUUACGAGGUAUCAGUGGAAAGGCAGAGUAUAUGUCAGACCGCAACGGAGUACAGAGCCGCAAGUAGUCAAAAGCAAAGAAAGUGUCGAUACAUUGUCAGCGAACUAAAGCAGAUAAGAGAAAAAUCAAGAAACCACCAAACAUAACAUAGGGAUGACGAAAAAACAUCGAUACAUCGAAAAUUUUCCACACGAUGUAUAAAUAGCAGAGACCAUAACGAUUAUAAGAAAUAAAAUUAAAUAUUGCUCAAUAAUUAUUACUGAACAGAGGAAAA